UAAAACGUGCUUCAUUUUCUCCAGUGAAAGUUUAAGGCAGGAGUAGGCAACCCAAGGCCCAGCAGCCAGAUGCGGCCCAAUCACCACCUUAAUCCGGCCUGCAGAUGGUCCAGGAAUCAGCGUGUUUUUACAUGAGUCUUUUUAUUUAAAAUGCAUCUCUGGGUUAUUUGUGAGGCAUAGGAAUUCGUUCAUUUUUUUUUUUUCAAAAUAUAGUCUGGCCCACCACAUGGUCUGAGGGACAGUGGACCGGCCCACAGCUGAAAAAGGUUGCUGACCCCUGGUUUAAGGAGACCAUGAAGUGCCUUACUAGCUAGAUUUGUAGCAGGUAACAUUAACUGAGCAUUGAACCUAAUGUCAAAUACACACACAUACACACAAACCCCUACCCUCACCCAAAAGGGAAGGUUCCUUCCCAACCUUACACUUUAGUCAGGCCAAAAUCGUAAAAGGCGGCAGGACUUGUGAUAGUUUGCCAUAAUUGCCAUCGCUACACCACAAAGGGACUUGCAGUGCUAUGUAUUUUCAGGAGAAAGCUAUCAUAACAUUGUACAAAGUUUAAUUCUAUAUGUUGUUUUAAAAAGUUAUUAGCCCUUAGAGACAAUGAAAAAUAUGGCUCAGAAUCAAAUGCCCAAGUUGUGGGUAGGGAUGCACUGUUAUUUUCUAAAAUGUCUUUUUUAUAUAUUUUGACAAGAAACGGGGAGAGGGGAAUGCUUGGGGAGUUGUAGUGACUGAACAUUUGCAGUAAGCACAAUAUUUGUGGCUCCAUUUGUCAGCAUUAGUCUUGUAAUACAAACUUCAAGAUCAACUCAGGUAGUUGUAACAUAAGCAAGCACUUUCAGCUGUGAACCUGAUCGGUUUAUAUCACAACAGUAACUGUUUUUUGUCUUUUGUAUAACUGCCAGCCACAACUACAGUUGGAAAAGAGUUUACUUGAAUUUAUUGUUUCAAGUUGUCUUUAAAAAAAAUUGUUUCAUUAUUGCAAUCCUUUCCCCUGGGAAUCACAUCCAUAGAUUUGCAUUUUUGAUCCUAGCAGUGUUCUAUUGUUUGUGUAUUUAUUGCAGAAAUUUUAUAUUUGUAUCUGGUUUGGAUUUGAUCAUAAUCCUUUAGUUGUGCCUUCUUCCUCGGUUUAGCUUUUAACAGACCUUAAAACCAAGGUGUGGCAGACUACUGAAUCUGGUACAGUAUUUGGUCUUUUGGUGAUUGGAUACCAAUUUGUGGAGUAAGAUGGCCUUUUGCCUUUUCUAAUAUGUGGUGCAGAGCCUACAUUCUCAGUGGGGUGCUCUGGACAGUUAAUUAAAUGAUGAGUAUGAUGUGUUACCACUUGCCUUGCAGCACAAUGCCGUGUGGUAUCCUCCAGUUGUUUGACUCAAGAGCAUAGCCGGGGGACGACGACAGGGAGAGACAGUUGUCCCCCUAAAUCAAUAAAAAGCAAUAUGAAUGCAUAGCUAACUGAGGUUCUACCUCCCCUAACAAAAGGCCUGCCCCCCUAACAAAAAUCCUAAGCCUAUGGUUUGCCUACAGCUCCUAGCCCCAGACAACAUGGCUGAUGGUCAGAGACUAUAGCAGUUGCAGUCCAGCAGCAUCUGGAGGGCACCACAUUGGUAAUGCAUCUGGUUUCAGGCAUGUAUUGGCAUGCAAAUUGUAAUACUGCAUAUCUCAAGAUCUUGCCUGUACAGUAUUAUAUCUUUUAGAGAAUUCUGAUGUGCCUGUUGCUAAUCCCUUAGCAUUCCUUGGGGAUCAUCAAGGCUGUACUGCACAGACGCCUAUGCAGUACUUCAAACUUCUUGCACCCAUUACUCCCUGCUCUUUUGAGUUUUUUAAAUACAGAAUUUCUGUGAAUGAAUGGGAUAGCCUUGCAGAGAAGGACAGUGUGUGUGUGUGUGUGUGUGUGUGUGUUUAUAUGGAGUCUAUAUACAGUACCUGUAUGUCACAAGGCAGCUUGAGCAUCUGGAAGCAACUUGUCUAGCAGGAAUACCUGUUAUGUCCUUGGCAAGUGACUAACCUAACUGCAAGGUUAUCUUAAAGGUGUAGAUGUGUGACAUGCAUAGCCAUGUCGCUAGGAACAUGAGAACUUGUAUCACGUCCAGUCAGACUGGUCCAUCUGGCUCAGUGUUGCUAUAUACUAGUGACAGGGUUUCAGACAGGAGUUUUUCCUAGUCCUACUUGGAGAUGCUGGGGAUUGAAGUUGUGGCCUUCUGCUUGGCAAGCAGUUACUGUAAUACUGAGCUGUGGUUCUUCCACAUUCUUGGAUAUUAAAGUUUUUUUCUGGCAGCAACCCAUCACAUUGCUGUUGCAACUGUAUAUUAAUAAGUGUAUGUGCUCUGACAGGUCUAACAAGAUUACAAUGAUGGCUGAGAGCUUAUUCAACGGUUUGGCUAUAUAUAUUGUCCUUAUUCUGUAGCUAGUCUGUUUGAUUUUUCAUACUUCUUUUUAUGGUUGCUGGACACUGAUAUGCUUCACAAAGGCUGUAUUUGGAUGUAAUGCUAAUCAUUGUUUAGUGUUAUGAGAGUGAACCACAGGCUUCUUCUUCGCACGCACACACACACACACACACACACACACACACACUUCCUUUCUCUUUGGCAUACACAGGAAGAACAUCAGAAGUGUUCUUUUCAGGUUAACCACAGCUUAGUAUGUAAGCUGAAUCCUAAAUUGUGGUUAAUUUUUACAUUUGAAACAAGCCUACUUCAUAAACCUAGGAACCUAACCCUUGUGUCAGAUGCAAUUCCUUUGUACCCCAAAGGGUGAGUGGAUUAAAAAGAAAGGCUUUUAUUCAGUUUGCUCUACAUUUGACACUAACUGUAUAAAGAAGCAUAUAAACCUUUAAUAAUCUCAAAUUUCUAUCUCCAAGCAAGCAUAAGUAGUUGCUUAGUGGUAUUGAGAAUAAAUCUGAAAUACUGUACUGCAAGGUAGCUACUGGAUUAUGGUGCAAAGUUCUACUAUAUAGGAAAAGUUUAGUAUAAAAUAUGGUUUCGUAAAGAAAUAAACUUGAACAUCCAUAUUUAAACAAAAGUUAGUAAUGAAUUACCUGUAAUUGUUACUAACCUCUCUGUCGUAAUAAGAAGUUGUGAUAACAGGGAGCAAUUGUUUUAUAAGAUGGCACUGUACCAUCUUAAUCCAUUUGGUAGGAAAAACAUAGAAUGAUAUUUUAUUUUCUUAGGAGUUGUGGCUUCACCUGCUCCUGCAUCUCACAGCAAGCAAUGGACAAAAAUGUGGGAGCAAGAUGGACACGUAUCCCAAAGACUUGCAGUCGGCCAAACAUAAUGGGGAAGCCAUGGAAGAAGUAGAAUGUUAACUGAACAUUACAUUAUUUAUGUGAACUAUGUUUCAAAGAUGAAAUUGAGCUAAAAACAUCUUGUUAGGUCCAGACAUGAAGAUAAGGGAAAAUAUGGGAGAUUCAGAAUUAUUAAGGUGACUAGCUACAGAGGAUGUUGGGAAGUAAAGAAAUAGCCUAGAGUUUCAGCUGCCACUGGGCAAAGUCCAGUAUUUGGGCUUGGUAAACAGAGGAUUAUUGAUGCAGUGAGCUUGUGAUAGAAGAGUCCAUGAAACAGAAUAAGAAACUUAAAACAUUACUUUAGUUUUGAUAAUUUUUCUGUACUGAGACAGGACAUAACAUAGUGAUGAAGCUAAAUACAUUAUUUGUGGUGAUUUUGCAGGGCUAUGACUGCUGUGCCCUUUAGCAGUGAAUGCAUUUUGCCCAGAGGAAGACACUCUUGAAUGAAGACUCUUUUUACAAACAACACUGUAUUUGCUUCCACAGCCAUGAGUGCAUGGCUUAUCUGUCUAAAGCUCUGCUGAGUCCCUCUCCAACUCUUAUCUCAGCAUCUGGAUGCAGAUGCAUAUUUUUUGAAAGAGAGAUAAAACAUAGUUGCUUAAAAUAAGCUCUCUAGGUUAACCGCCAGCUAUCAAAUGCUAGUCUCAACAGAAAUGUAUGUCACGGCAUCAGAAUACUGCUGAAGUGUAGAUUCUAGAGAACUACAAGGAAAUUCACAGCUGAUAGGUAGACACUGAAAAGGCCUCUGUACUUGAUGUGACAUGAUGCACUGAUAGUAUUGAGAUAAUGUUCUCAUUUGUAAAAAGAUUAGAGUGUUUCACAUUGAUUUGAGAGGAAGUCCCCCAAAAGGCAGGUGCUCUAAUCCAAAUUAUUUUAUUUAACCCAGAUUAUAUUAUUUAAAGACCUUACUAGUGGAUAUAAAACCAACAGAAAUCUUGUGGUGAAUUGAACUUCAGAAAUACCGUCCUCUUUACAACAGAAUCCCUAUAUUCAAGUUGCAUGUUAGGGAGGAACAUGUAUCUGUUCUAAUAGAUUUCACUUCUGGUUCUUGGAAGACUGGACAUAGCAUGGGAUUUUUUGUGCAAAUAUGGGGUCUCAGGGAUAAUGGAGAUGUAAUGAAGUUGCCUUUAGGAUUUUGUGCACAUUUUAAAUGUACCUUACUGUUAUUGAUAUGCAUGUCUUCAGAAAUGAUUUGAUACUGUUAGCUCCUUGUGGGUUCCUUGACCCAUAAGGCAAGCUAGAAAUGAAGUAAAUAAUGAUCCUGUUUCAGAUUCAGUGCAUCAAAUGAGCCAUCUAAUGUUGGACAGUUGCAGGGGUAAGGGUUGUUAACCAGUCUGUUAAGUACAAUUCAGGCUAGUCUUAUAGGUAUUGCCCAGUGUUAUCACCCCAGUAGUUGCAAUCCUGUUUGUUUUCACAAACCAGAACUUCAUCGUUUUGGAGUGGACGACCGCUGAGAGGAGACUCUAACCUCUUGAUUUCAAAGGGGCCGUGGCUUUCACUGGUGCCUCCCUGGCUAAUGUAAGAAAGGUGUUUUGCCAUAAACGGUUCUGAGGUAUUUGGUGAGGUUGGAGAGAGGUCGGCCCAAGCAGGAAGCCCGUUGUCUGCCCUGUAAAGAAAAUAGCAAGUUACAAAAUGAAAGCAUCAAAGAACCAACAGGAUGCAGUCCCAGGAGUCUCUUCUGGCAUGUGGGUCCUCCUUGAAAGUUAGUACUGAGUGAAGAGUGACCUUAAAACUCACUUUAUUCAAACAGACUAAGCUCAGGUUUAAAGUUCAAGACAUUUUGUUUUUUCACCUGUUUCCUACAGUUUUCAAAAACUUCUGAAGAAUUAAUGUGUAACUAUAUCUGGUCCCUGAGCCAACAGUGAGGACUCUUUUCUUUUUCUUUUUUUUCUUUGCCAAGGGAAAAUAGGAUGCUAUAUUGUAUUGUACGAAACUUUAAAUAUUAACAUGUCUGGAACCACCAGAAUAAUGCACAUAGGAUCUACAUGAAAUGGAAUGAUUUGUCAAAUGAUUUUGAGUACAAUGUAACACUAUCCUUUUGAGACAUUUAAUGUGACUAGGCCAAAAUGAAGGCAUCCAUGGGUGUAGCCGGGGGGGGGGGGGGAGCUGUCCCCACAAUCAAAACCAAUACAAAUUACCGCAAUACUGUACAAAUAUGAGGUUCUGCCCCUAACGAAAGCCUCCCCCCCAAAAAGCCUGCCCAUCUUCUAACACAAUUCCUGGCCCAAUCUCCAUAUCUGUUCUCGGUAUUCUAGAACAGAAUUCAGGAUGGUGCUAACUAGACAGACAGAGGCAGGUUCAGUGUCCACCCCAGGGAUGUCUCUGGGUAAAUCCUCUCCCCUUAAGCAAAUGUUGCCGUUCACUUCUCUGGGAGAAGGAAGGAGUUGCAUUUGGGGACAGAUUAAGGCAAAAUCUCUCUCCGCACAGUGAGUGGUCUGGGCUUACUGAGUGAGCACACCUGUGGGGUGUGGGGGUGUGAUGCUGUGUAGAGGGUGCCACAGCCACUCUGCACUCUACAAGGGUCUUUGCAACAUAUAAACACUUUCUUGGCUUGCACUCUACCAGGGGUCCCCAGACUUACCGCACUUCGAGCUGGUGCCCGAAGCGCAGAUCCCAUGAAGGGCGGGGGAGCGCACGCCCAUGCACCUGCACACACGCUAUUUCCAGUGCACUUCCAGGUUGCUGGAGCCCCUGGAAAUGGCUUGUGCACAUGCGCAUGGGCCUCCAGUGACCCGGAAGUGCACCAGAAAUGAUGCUUUUGCAUGCUCGCAAGCUAUUCCUGGUCCUCCAGCAACCCGGAAGUGGGCUGCCGCACCGAUAAGAGCGGGUAGCGGGGGUUGCCAGGGGCCGGAUAAAUGAGACUUGCGGGCCGUAUCCGGUCCCCGGGCCGUAGUCUGGGGAACCCUGCACUCCACUUUUUCUGGCUCAUCUGUAUCAGCCGCUUUUAUUGUACAGUAAGGCUUCAAUUUUUUGCAAGUCCCCCCCCUCCCCCCGGGACAUCUGCCCCCUUUUAUUUUAUGCCAAGCACAUAAAGCUGAAUGUGCACAAGUUAAAUGCACAUAAGUUGUGAGUGUACUGUACAUGAGGGCCACAAAAUGGAAACCCAAGGCAGAACUGGGCAAUGGAGAGCUGGUGGGUAUGUCAGUGGCUCUCUUUAAGUUAGGAACAUAAGAACACAGUAAUCCACCUUAAACCAAGGCAGACCACAGGUCCAUUCAGGUCAAUACUGUCCACACUGGCUGGCAGUGGUUCUUCAGGGUUUCAGACAGUAUAUUUCCAAUCCUGCCAGAUGCCAGGAAUAGUACCUGGGACCUUCUACAUGCAAAGCAGAUGUUCUGCCACUGAGCUACAGUCAUAUUCAGCUCUAUGGGACAGUAUAAAUAUACAAAACUGGAACAAAGAGAGAGAACCUACUUUUUUGAAGACACAGGGAUCUGCCACCAGUGGAGUGCAGCCAUUUAUUUUCUCCAGUGUAUGUGAGUCGCUGCCACAUACACAGGACCGUAUAUAGACAUUCUCCUCCACAUAUACUGCAUCAUACUCCUGGCCCUCUGCUAACUCAAAAAUAAGCAAAGGGCAUUCAAAUUAGUGUUUUUAAAACAAAAUCAUAAUAUAUGGAAGUAAAUCCCACUUUUCAUUACAUUUACUUGAUAAUAUGUCUUCAUAGGAUUACACUCCCACUAGUUCUGCAAAUGUAAAUCUUAACAACAACCCUGUAAGGUAGAUAAGCUUUUAUUAUCAUCUUAUUGUGGCAGGUGGGGUUUGAAGGUAGUGGUUUGCUUAAAGCUGCCUAAGAGGUUGUGACAGGUUAGACUGAAACAGUCUUCACACUAUGCGGUCUUGGGUACUAUACCACUUCUCAUUUUACAUGUAUUUUUUAGCCAGCCCCUCCAAAAAGAAAUCACUAAUAGAAAUUAACAAUUGAACUAGUUAGUUAAAAUAAAUGUACAGUCUGAAAUGUACAGUUGGCCUGGCUGGGGAAUCCUUGUUGUGUUUUCCAAGGGUGUUCUCAAGUCGCACAAUAUGCCUUUACGUUCUGUCAUUUUUUGCAUCCCCUUUUUAAAACAUAGUCCUAAGCAAAUCAGCUGUACCAACAAUUGGAUAGGCUGUCAGUCGUAGUUAAAAGAAAUCGCUUGAAGAGAGGACAUACAGAUUUCACUCAUUUUCCCAGGAUAUUAAACUUUAAUGACUGCACUAUGAAUAUUUCAUGACAGUAUCUUUUUGAAUAGGUUGUUUUGUCCUGGAGGAUAUUGUACAUUAUAAAGCCUGAUUUCUCUCUAGGCAAAAUUGGUGAAGUGUUGGAACAUAAACGUUCGAUCUUUGAUUACAAGGAAAAGCACAUUUUAUUUCAGCCGUUAUGAAGCCUGAUGUUGGGGGGUGGGGAGUUGUUUUGUUUUUUGACAGCUCAUCAUAUGAAACUCAGUAUUAAAUACUAUUCUUUAUUUUUGCCACAAGGUGGCUAAAUAACCUUUGAAUGGUGGUGAAAGGGUUGUUUUAUACUGCAGAAAAUGAAGGUUUCAAGGUUAGUCUGAUUUCUUUUGAAAUCAGUGUUACUUUUGAAUAGCAUAUGAAAUAUUUGCAUAGCCAUUAGCAAAAAAAUCCAAAAAGCUGCACUGUUGUUAGGACCACCUAAAAUAGCACAAAACAGUUAGCAAGUUUUUAUGUUCCCUGCACAGCUUUUCUCGAACUGGAUUGGGGAUCACCAGUGGGUAUCUGAACUGCCGUCCAUCCCAUGGCCAUGCAGUAGGUUUUGGGUUGGACGGAUAUCCCAGCAGCUCCAAAAGUAAUAAUGAUCUAGGAAUAGAGAGGGAAGAUAUUCUAAGAGGAGGAAGUGAAUGUUAAAAGUAGGUUGGGGUGCGAUAAAUUGACAAUCUGGGUGUGGACACAGGGUUCGUGUAGAAGAGGGACACGGGUGGCGCUGUGGUCUAAACUUGCUGAUUGAAAGGUUGGCGGUUCAAAUCCACGCAACGGGAUGAGCUUCCAUUGCUUUGUCCCAGCUGUUGCCAACCUAGCAGUUCGAAAGCAUACCAUUGCAAGUAGAUAAAUAGGUGUUGCGGUGGCGGGAAGAUAAGCAGUGUUUCUGUGUGCUCUGGCAUUCGUCACAGUGUCCCGUUGUGCCAGAAGCGGUUUAGUCAUGCUGACUGCAUGACCCGGAAAGCUGUCUAUGGACAAAUGCCAACUCCCUCGAACUGAAGCGAGAUGAGUGCCGCACCCCGUAGUCACAUUUGACUGGACUUAAUUGUCCAGGGGUCAUUUACCUUUUUUCCUUACGUGUAAAAGAGUGUUAGUUUUUAUGACAUUAUUGCACUUACCAGUUUUUUUUUGUUACAUCCCUUCGUUGUUUGCUAUCAACAAAAAAUAAAAUAAAAACAGAUUUCACUGCAAAAACAAAACAAAACAGGCGUCUGGACAUUCCAUUGUGGCAACCUUAACCUAGGUUUAAGGUGCCAUUUGGUGAUAGGUUUCUAACACUGGUUGUAACUGGUGGAGAAAAUAUGGUCAGAGAGGUUCUCAUCUCUAUAUGUGCUGAGAUUGUCUGAAACUCCUGACCUACUGUGAUAUGAUCUGUAGAGGUGUAAAUAAAUAAAUAAACAAACAAACAAACAGGAGGUGACAUUAUGCCCAUUGAUGAUGCUCCUAUAUAUUUGGGAUGGAAAGAACAAAAAGAGCCUGCGUAAGCCCUUUAUAUAUGUUUCAUGUUAGUUGCAGCAUGGAUGGAAUUGGUUAAAAAUUGGAAAGCGUUUCGCAUUAGGUGCCUGGUUGUAAAGGCUGUGGCAAAGAGCCAGGCAAUGAAAGUGACAUUUAACAUAAAGUUGGCAAAGGCGAUGGGCUACUGUGCAAAGUGGAACUUGUUUGUUGUAUAUAUGAAGGAAUGCCAAUCCAAUUUUGCCAUGCUUUUGCGACAGACUUUAACACUGACCUACAAGAGACAAAUAAGAAUAGAAUCCAAGACAUAGAACAAAAUAACAAAAUAAGAGCACAGAAUGUUUAGCAGAACCUUUGCAGAUACGAGGAACUCUUUCCGAUUUCAGUCAUGAAAACUCUUCCUUUAAGAAACUUAUCCUUCCCCUCACAAAAAGUAUAGCUUCAUAUGCACAGUAAAGAAAUUGCUUAAUGUAAAUGAAGCAUAUCUUUUGUGGGCAGAUGCUAUACUUACUAUGGAGAUUUUAAUGUGCAUUUUCAUUUCCCCUUUUUAUAUUUUAACUUAUUAACUCUGACAAGUAACCUCUUGGUUGUGAACAAUUUAAUUCACAAUUCACUUUUUCUGAUUCAAAGUGAACAUGAGUGCCCUAAUCCCCUAAUGGGAAUUAAUUGCAUGUUUCAGUGCUUAACUCUGAUCCUUUCUCAAUUCCCACUGGGACAAGUUUCUUCCUAAAGGGUCUGUGUUUGUUAUUCAAAACACAAUUUGAAAGAUAAUGAUUUUUUUCUCCCAAAGAGGAACUGGAGCAACCCAAUGUUAAUGUUCUUUCCUUUGCAGGAGAACAAGCUGUAGCCUCUUAACCCAUUUGAUGUCAUGAAGGGUAAACAUACAAUGCUGAAAGUGGAUGAAAUAUCAGGGCAACACAGGGUGGCAUUUUGGAAAGACAGCACCGUAGUUUUGAGAGAAGAGCCUUGUGUUUUUGUAAAAUAGUAUUCAUUUCUACAGAACUGAGGUGUAUUAGAACAAUGUUAAGUCCUGGUGGUCAAAGGGGAUGUAUUUUCUUAAAUGACAGCCCUUUGACCAGUAAGCUUAAUUUUCUCUGGGAAUUUUUCAGCAAUGCUUUUGAGUGUGUAAAGAGUUUCACAGGAACGCUGUCAAUUUCCCGAGUGUAUGAGAAAUUUUCCCUGCCAACCUUAUUUUACUCUCUAUUCCAGGCACCCCCAAACUUCAGCCCUCCAGAUGUUUUGGACUACAAUUCCCAUCUUCCCCAACCACUGGUCCUGUUAGCUAGGGAUCAUGGGAGUUGCAGGCCAAAACAUCUGGAGGGCCGCAGUUUGGGGAUGCCUGCUCUAUUCUCUAUUCCUCCAGGAAGCUGAAGGCAGUCUAUAUGGUACUCUUCUUCCCCUUGCUAUCCUCCCAACAACCUGUGAAGUGGGCUAGGCUAGAGCCAGUGACUGGCCCAAAAUUCCCUUGGUUAGCUAAUGGAGAAUUUGAAUAUGCCUCCCUAGCUAUAGAAUAGAUUAAAACUCUGAUCAUGAGUCCACACUGACUCUACUAGGGAGAAUGGAAGGGAACCAGGGACUGCUAGGGUUAUGUUUAUAGGUGCUACACUGGUCAUUUCCAGAUUGUGUGUCAAGAGAGAAUGGCUUGUGAAAUGAAUUGUUAAAGGCUUUUGUGAGGUCUACAUACUCCCUGGCAAAGGCAGUUGCUGGGACUCUGCAGGUUCAGACCCUCCAAGUGUCCCCAUUUUCCAGGGACAGUCCCAGAUUUACAGAAGCCAUCCUGGUUUCAGAUUUGAUCCUGGAGUGUCCUCCUUUUCCUUAGGAUGUCCCUCUUUCCAUAACAUAAAUGUUGGAAGGUAGGGAGUUAUGUGACCCCCAACCCAAGGAGAUAAGUAAUUAUACAACCUUUAGAAGACAUCUGAAGACAGCCCUGUAUAGGAAUUUUUUAAAAAAUGUUAUAUAUGUUGGAAUAUUAUGAUUAUGAUUAUUAUUAAGAAAUAGGACAUCUCUAUUUUCAUUGGAGAAAUGUUGGAGGGUAUGCAGGUUUCACAAGUAUAUAAUGCCUACUGGAUCACCCCUGUCUACAUGCUUGUAGACACUCUCUGAGAAAUCUUAAAAAGGUAAGGAAAGCAGGACGUACCUUUGGAGAAGUCUUCUUAAUUUUUUAGUCUUAGGUUGCUUCCAGACAGCUGAGCUCCUUGUGUUAGCCAGGUCUUCUGUUUAUGAUGUUUCAAUUGAAUUUUAAUUGAUUUUGCACACUGUUGGGAGUAGUGCACUUUUUUGUUUCUACAUCUAUGCUGUUUCCACGCCAGUGGGUGUGACAUCAUUGCUGUGGGUUGGGCCACAUGCCGCUCAGCACAUAUUCACUGCUAACUCUUGUGGGAGUUACUGUUUUAUGAGCCCAUUCUAACUUUUUUAAUUGACCUUUUAAUUAUGGCAAAAUUCUUUUCCCUUUUUUAUUAGAUAAAAGUGAGAUAUUUAUGAUGUUACAACACCAUAAUUAGAGCAUGAUAGCAUUAUGGUGUUAUAAUCAUGCUUUUCCUCAAUUGACUGAGGGGGAAUCCAAAUUGGGUCAUUAAGUGACACCCAUCACAAAUGUUAUAGUAUGUGCUAAGUGGCGAUAGGUUCACUUUCCUGAUGGGUCAUGGCCCACAUCAAAGCCACACCCUUUUAACAAGAAUAGUACUAAAGACAUCUGCACCUGGGAAGGAUGAGCAACCCUUCUGUUCUUCUGAAAUUUGAGGGGGUGGGCAUGAGAAAAGACUGUCCAAGAAGACAGAAAAAUUGCAGGGAAAAUACAGGAACACAAUAAUUGGAUGUCUUCUCAGAUAGUAUUUUGUGAAUGCCCUGUAAUUAGGGAGUGAAUGGAGCAUGGCCAUUCCACACGAAAUGACGACUGGAAGCACAGUGUCUAUUCUAUCACCCUGGCUCUCUUAAUCUUAACAAUCUCUGAAAGUAAACCUCUUGAGCCACAAUAAUUAAAUGUGCCUCUGCUUUUUAUUCAGAAAAAUAUACACUACAUUCUCCCUUCAUAAAUAAAUGAACUGUUAUGAAAGAAUGGGGAAAAAAUUAAUACGCCUCAUAAUGACCCUCUGUCUAAAGUGAGGGCCAGGUGUCCUGCUCACCUUCUGAAGAUUUUCUGCAUCUGGCAAUUAAAGCCCAAACUGCUGUGUUGGGGAGGGGGUGAGACUGUCUCUCCUAGCAGUUCAUGACUGAUAGCAAAAUUUGGGAAAGCAUCAGAUGUUCUGGGCUUUAGUUGAACAGAAACAUCAUGAAGGGAGGGAGAAAGGUUCAUCUGGGAGGCAGAAUACUUUGAACAGUAGCCAAGGAAUAAAAUGGAAACCUUUUCAUUACUUUAGUAAAUUGGAGGCUCUUUUGCCCUACACUGGGAAAGCUGUUCCCAAAAUAGAACAUCAAAAUAGUCAGCCAGGUGUAUUGCAAAACACUAGUGCCACACUCAUGCCAAAAGCUAGAGUCACAAUCUGUGACAGACAUCUCCUGGUGAGAAACAUCAAACAUUUUUUGAAAUUGUGUAAUGCAAUGAUGACUAGGUCUUUGGCAGGAUAUGAGCAGUGACCAUUGUGUAAGCCUUGCAAAUUUGACUUUUGAGGAAGCUGAAAUUCAACCUCUGCUUUAAAGCUGGAGUAAGAAUUAGGGGCUUGUCUGACCAAGAGCAGAGAAAAUGGCUGCUCUUGGAAUGAGGCAUCUUACAGCCUCUUGCUUCAGCUCCUAGCUGGGUUGGGGUAUAAAAACCUAGCCCCCCUUAUAUGGUGAAAUUGAUGCUACUGACCUGAAGGUUGGAAUUGACAAAAGGCUGACCUUCCCAGAGUGUGUGUAGAGCUCUUGACACUGUCGCCCCUGAGUGUCCUGGUUGGCAUUGUGGAGGCUGUUCUACUUCUUGGUAUAGCAUGGAACUAAGGGCAAUGAAAGUGUGUGUGUGUGUGUGUGUAUUUCAGACUGUAAGUGGUCUAUAAAUAGAAAUAAUAAGAAUUUAAUGCACUAACCCCAACGGCGGAAGAGGUUUUUGGGAGUAAUAUUUAAGUGACUGACUUUGUAUCCUUUUCUCCUUUCAAAAGUGGUGCAUUUCACACCCAAUUCUUUGGUGGCUUAUGGGUUUCCAGAGCUGGUCCAGUAUUUUGCUGAAUAUUCCAAACUUGCAUACAUCCCUCCUGUGAAUUUGUUUUAAUAUCUGUUGGACCCAAGGAGGUAGCAUUGUUUAAAUAACAUACCACCUUUGCAUUCACAGGGAUUGUAAUAAUUGUGUUUUAGAAUUAUUGUUCAUUCAUAGACUUUAUUUAAAAAUUGACCUUUUUUAAAAAAUAAAUUGUUUCUAAAACAUAUAUAAUACAUAGAUUGCUGGGCAGGUACUGUACAUAAUGGUAUAUCAUGUACGGUACAUGAAGGCCUGUCAUAACUUUUGGUAAUGCGUAUGUCAAGUGGAAUUCAUAUACAGUAACCAAACCAACCACAUAAUGCUCACUUGCAGAAAGAGUUGGGUUGUACAUACAUGCUGAAAACAAUGGGAUCCUGAAAAUGGUUACUUAGAUUAGAUGGUCCUGUUCAUACUAAAUCUUGUGACCGCAUACACUCUUACAUGAAGGAAUUGGACAGUGUGAACUGAUAACUAGAGUGCUCGCUGUCGAACAACAAGCAACCGUUUCUUAUUUUUGUUAUGACCUUUGCUUUCUUCUGUGGAGGAGUGAUUUGCUAAUUGUAUUAUUGAGCCAAAUCGGAUCCUAUAAGUUUGCAUUGCCUGCAUUGUAUAAUUCUGACUGUGUGGCUUAGCCCCAUAUUCCUGGGAUGCUUUCCCCCCCAGAAUGCUUUCAGUGCCUCUGUGUCUCUGCACCAAAGUGUGUCAAAGUGCAAAGCAAAAGGAACAGGAUGCCCAGCUCAAGGCUGGAUGAUGGCUGGCUAUGUCUGAUGCGUAGUCUUACUCAAGGCUGCUGCUUACUCAAGGCUGCUAGUUUGACGCGUAAACUGAAGGCUAAAAGGCUUUGUUGAGCCAGCAUGUGUUUAGAGUCUACACCCAGAGAUAUGAAUUUGACAGUAAUUGACAAUACGCAUAGAUGAUGUGAAGGGGGGGAAGAUGCGUAAAUCACCAUUGUCCCCUAUAGCCCUGUUUAUGUUACCCCUGCCUAAGCCAGCAUGUGUUUACGCACAGGACGUGUACUAGUGACCCCCUUGCGUGUGUGACCCCCUUGCGUGUGUGACCCCCUUGCGUGCACACAUUUACAGAGGAGGGGGAAAGAGCCCAAAAGAAGGGUAUAAGAGAGCUUUGCAAUUUGUGUUGCUUUACUCAUGUCGUGGAACUAGCCACCUUGAGUCUCUUAUUAAUAAGAAAUAAAAUUCUUUCUCUGGAAGAACUCAACCCCGGUGUCGUUUUGACUAUCUUUUGUCCUUGCCUGGGUGCAACUUAAAAGGACCCUUACUAGCUGAUAAGGCUACAUUUUCUUUUGACACUUGUAUUGUAAUUAUAACUGGAGUUAGAAAAAUAGCCAGCUUGUAUUCCUUGGAUUGUUUUUAAGCAACCGUAUUUGCUAAAUAUUGCUGUAAUAACAAGCUUUUAAAGAACAAUGUUUCCGCAAAGUGUGAUAAUGUAUCAAGGCUUAUUUUUGUUUAUUUCAGUUCCUUUCGUCAGAAGAAUGGUUCAUGUCUUUGUCUACGGGACACUUAAGAAAAGCCAGCCCAACUACCCAUACAUGAUAAAUGGUGCUAACGGGACAGCCAGAUUCCAGGGCAAGGGGCUCACAGUGGAGAAAUACCCCCUAGUGAUUGCCGGGAAAUACAACAUUCCUUAUUUGCUUAAUAUCCCAGGAACGGGACACCGUGUCACUGGAGAGAUUUAUGCUGUCAAUGACCAGAUGCUGCAAUUCCUUGAUGAGUUUGAAAAUUGUCCAGACAUGUAUCAGCGUACCCCAGUGAGAAUUGAAGUAGUUGAGCAGGAAGAUGGAAGUAGUCCACCUGAAGGGGCACCAGCUGUUAACAGCAUCCUGGAAUGCUAUGUGUAUAGCACCACCACUUACCAGCCAGAGUGGAUACAUCUCCCUUACUAUGACAACUAUGAUUCCUUUGGGAAACACGGGCUUCCAUAUGUACUAAGGGAAAGCAGAGUUUGAAACUGGAAGGUAAAAGCUGAUAUGGACAUAUUAUCAAGAAGUUGAGUACAAUCUCUAGUAUUUUUACAGAAAGUAAGCACUAAUGUUUCAGACCAUAAUGUAGUUGCCUUCAAGCCAAUAUUUUAGGGUCUAGUCAGGUUUUCAGACUAAACUUGCGUAGUCAUCAUGCAAGAUACAUGGAUGGUAUGUCUUUAAUUCUGUAGUUCUCUGAUUAAAACUUGAUCAAGAGGUUGGGGGGGAUGCUGUUUUGCAAAGCAAAAAUAAAAUAAUGCAGUAUUUUUAGCAAUGUACUGUACUGGAGGAUAAAGAACCUCCAGCUUGCAGCAAACUUUUUGCAUUACUGUACAACCUUCACAUAAGCAAGGAAAUGGCCCUUGUAAGAGAUCCAUUAAUCAAGCACUGUGAGACAAAUGAGUUCACUAAGGGAAUUCUCUUUGCUGAUGCCCUCAAAGUUGAGUCCUCUGGCUUUCAGGUGCUCUAAGUGGGCAGUGGUGGGCAAAAAUGAUAAGAGCAUCAGGCUCUCAUGAUAUGUGGCGUUGUUCUGGAGUGGUAUUGCUCUGGAACAGCAAGUUAAAAACUUAAGAACAGCCCUGCUGGAUGAGACAAAAGGCCUCCUUAGUCCAGCAUCCUUUUUCUCACACACACCAGCCAGAUGCCUAUGUGAGACCUACAAGCAGAUCAGAAAGACCAUGUACCUCUCCUGCUGCUGUUCCCAGCAAGUGAUAUUAGAGGCAUGUUACCUCUGAUCCUGCAGGCAGUAUAUCACUAGCAUGACUACGAAAUCCAUGAAUUGAAAUGGGUUGACAUUAUAGUGCUGCUAGGAGCCAGACUUGUCAAAUGGGCCUUAAGAGCUCAGAGAAAGUUAUGGUUCAGGAAUUGGGGGAAGGAACUAAGAGAAUAUUGACUCACAAAGUGAAGUCCAAGUGAUGUGGAGCCCUCUGCUUCUUCAUUUAUUUGUCCACCUUUCUGGACAUAAUAGUUUCUAUUCAUUAGGUUUUAGUAUAUUUACAUUCUCCUCCUGCCUGUUUCAGCUCCAUAAAUGACCACGGACUACUGAAUAGGAUAAACCUCUUUUCAUUUAUAGCUCAGAAUUUUGAAAUAUACAAGAAGGGAAGAAGGCAGAUUCUCAAGAAAAUACCAAGAAAGCAGUUUUUAAGAUCCUACAGAUAUUCAAUUCUUGAAGAGGCUUUAACCAUCAUCUAAUUCUACUGUAUAAAGAAUAUGGAUUCUGACUCAUCAAGGCUGUGCAUGCAGUACAGAAAACUGCAAACACGGAAAAUAUUCAUUUUUUGAGGCUGGCUAGAGAAUUCACCUUCCCAAGAAUCUCAGCUUACAAGUCAAAGCAAAGCAAAACAAAAUACACGUUUUAGUCCUAGUAAAGAAAGGAUCAGCAAUUGCAUGCACAAGGCCUGGUGAAAUUUCCAAAGCAAGAGAAGCACUCGCUUGGAUUACUAGUCCUCAAAGAGCUUUAGUGCCCUGUGUAAUUCCUUGUCUCUCUUCGUUAUUAAGAAAAGCAGACAUUUGCAGACCAGAUGCAAGUCUUAUGGAAUCAAAAUACCACCACCCAGUCUCAUAUUCAUUCAGAGUGGCACUCUCACUUUCUGUAUCUGCCUAGUUGAACUCUUAACAAACUGUUCACAUGCUCAAGGUAACAAGUGAAUUCAUUGUGUACCUCCAUGGAUUAUUUUUUUAAGCCCAAAAAGUUGAUCGUGUGAGAUAAGCACAUCCUAUGCCAAUAAGGCAAGCUACUUCUGGAAAAAUACGCAGCUUUACAGGACGUUGGAUAAUAAUUAUUAUUUAUUACAUUUGUUAGUCACUUUAUCUUGCCCAAGGCAACUUAGAGCAGUGUUUCUCAACCUUUUUUGGGCCACGGCACACUUGUUCCGUGAAAAAAAUCACGAGGCACACCACCAUUAAAAAAGUUAAAAAAUUUAACUCUGUGCCGCCCUAUAUUAUAAUUAUGACUGUAAGAAACACUUGCCAAAUAUUGCUUUCCGGCGGGUUAGUGGUGUUUAUUGGCGGCCGCCAGGCACGUGACAAUGCAAAUCGCCCUUCUCGUCGCCGCACACCAGCCAGCGUCUGGUGUGCCGCAGAACAGCGGUUGAGAAACGCUGACUUAGAGCAACUUACAACCAAAUAAUCUAGCCAGUUUGCAUUUCAUGAAGUAGCUCUCUGUUUCCUUGGGUCAUUUCCCCUUCAAACAUCACAAUUUAAGUGUGACUUUCCUUACUUUCAUAUCUGAAAUUAACUACAUGCUUCAGAGCCCACAAUGAAAGAUCAUUUCCACUAGAGACUAUACGGUACUAUUUCCAAACCAGCAUUGGGAGCAGUUUGAGAUUCUUCCUAUAUACAUGGUCUGAAAUACUAGUUACAUGAACUAAUACUAACUUUCAAGAUUAUACUACCCACAUAUGCAAUUUUGUCACUGCAAACACCAUAUUAAAUAACAAAAGUUGAACCAAUCUACUGCAUGCAUAAGUGUAUUUGUCACACUAAUUCUUAUCACCAUCAGACUUCAUAUCUCCUAUAAAACAUCUGCUAAGUGCUCAAGUACUUGUUCUAUGUUGCCCCUCCAAUAGAUCCUCAUUUCUUUCAUCCUGUCUUGACACCUACAGGUACAUACAUUACCACCUCCAUGUAAUAAGCAUCAAUUACAUCAGCAGUCAACAAGCUUGUUAGGACUACAGUCACAGACUGCAGCAUUGACAUGGGUCUAAAUGUAUAGCCUACUUCUUAUUGUAGGUUUUAAGUUCCUUAGAUGUUUUAAUUUUUGUAUGGAUAAAUGUUUGUUUCUGACUGAUGGUCAAACAAAAUCUGAUUGAUUGCUUGAAAAGAGAGAGACUGUGGUGGGCAUCACAUGUGUGUGGUAGCUCUUCACUCCCCAUGGGGUAACACCCAGGCCUGAUUAGGUUUGAAAAAAUGAGCUUCUAUAGGCUAAAGAAGGCUUCUUUUAAGCCUAAUCUUAGCAAGGGAAUGGGACCCUGUGGGCACCAGGAAAGAUCUUUCUGUGGGCAAAGGUGCCACACUGGCAAUCCAUGCAUUGCACUGCGUGUACAUUAAAUAAACAGUGCAAAGAGGAGCCACAAUCCACAGCCUUCCAAUGGAAAACACACACUGAAAUUUUAUUUAAAAGUAAGAUGUAAAGUUAUAUAAAGGAAUACAGCUUAUUUCUCAAGGCUGUUGCUCAAAAGUGCUUGUUCCACAUCAGCAAGAGAACAAUAGACUGAAUCACAUUGCUUCUUUGUUGACCUGGAAUGAACCACCCUCAGCGUUGGGACCAAACUGGGACACUGUAAGAGAGCAGUAGCCUCUUCACAUAUAACAGACUUCCACACACACUUCCUAUAUAUUCAUGCCUGUGACCCUUGCCACAUCCCAAUUCCAGCACCCUCAACUACUCAAGUCUCCUAUUUUACAUCCUCCCUUGUUUUCCCUUAUGUCUUGGCACCCUCACAGAAUACUGAUGGCUGAAACUCAUUCCUCAAAGCCCAUUUUCUUUGUGCAGCUUUUGGCUGCACAUCUUAGCCCACAUCUCAAACCCCAAAUAAAACUGCAGUUAAUCUCAUGCUGCCCCUGGCCUCCUCAGUCAGCUCUACUGUCACAUGUGAUAGGUACACACACACACACCACCAGAGUUUUUCCAUCACAUAUACAUUAAAUAGGAAGCGCCACACACUUUUCGCCUCCUUGUCUUCAUAAGAACCUAAGAGGAACUUGCUGGAUCAGGCCAAUGACCUAUCUAGUUCAGCAUCCUGUUCUCACAGGUCUACCGGUAGGUGCCUGUGGGAAGCUGGCAAGAUGAACAUGAACACAACAGCAGUCUUCACAAACCUGUGAUUCCACUAGUGGCUGUUGUCCAAUAAUAAAAGCCAUCCAAGUUGGCGGCCAUCACUAUGUGCUGCAUAAAGAAGUUAAUGGCAUGUUAUGAGAGACAGUCCUAAAUGGAUAGGACAAUGUUGAGUACAAAUUUUGUCGUGCAAAAAGGAGAGACCAUAGAAUAGUUCCAUUCAACAUGUUGACUUAACCCAGAAUGUUAAGGUACAAUAUGAAAGCAUGUCAAUGUUCCCAUCUCCUAUGGUAACAUAGGUACUUUUUUCCCCUUAAGGGUAUGCCACACACCUCAGAUGACAAAAACAUGUCAGGAUCAAUCACAGGAAAGAAUCAACAGAAAUAUUUCUCACUGAAUGAAUUUCCUCCAUUACAAAAGGGAGCUAAGAUUUGAGUAGUUUAUUUGCAUCCUCAGCUACAAAACGAGAUAUGUGCAAGUACAUUAGAGCGAAUGUGUCAUAUCAGGCUUAACACUGCACUGAUACAUGACUUGUGCACAUAGCAUUAGUGGUACUAGGUUAACUGAUGAACAAGAGAAGCAUCCUGGCAUAAAAAUUCCAUUAAUGUGCAAAUACUGCCCUUUCACUUAUUUGGAGUAGGCCUACUGUUCCCAAACUUUCUCAGAGAACUGUCAGAAAGCUCAGGAGUUCCCCUAAGUUCUCUGAAAGCUUCAAAACACUGGGCCAAGGGGAUCUCCCUAUCCAUCUUACAUCCUUCCCAGCCUUUGCUGUCAGAGGUUUCCCUUUGCCUCCCACUCUCAGAAAUAUUCCCUGCUCUAGAAGUGGGCUUUGCAAGAUGUGUUUGAUUUAUCUCAUCAUUGGUGAAGGUUUCCUAAGUGAGAAAAGCCUCCAGUUGCCAAAUUCUAAACCAUCUAUGUUAAGUGCUUCAAAUCUACCUAUCAGCAGCAUGUUCUAAACUACAAACAGUGUGCAUGCUUGAUGCAAACAGAAUACAUUUUACAUAUAAAGGGGCCAACAACAUAAUUUUCUGGGCCUGUUAAAAAACAUAUAUUCAACCUGCCCCCACCCACAGCAACAAUUUCCUAAAGAUUAAACAACCCCACAUUUUUUAAAAAUACAGAUACAGAGGGUUGUCUGAUGGGUUCCUCCUAUGAACCUCUAACUUCGUUUCCUAUGUACCCCUUCUCUGUCCAAACAUGUACUCUCCAAAGGUAACUGGGAAUAGUAUUCUUUAGCGAAAACUUACCCAACAAACCCUUACAAGUAAAGUAACUUAUGCUAGUUCUCUGUCUUAGGUGAAAACCUUUAUUUCCAUAGGUACUCAGUGUUUAAAUACUGUGGCAUUAUGUCUAAUAAUAGCCAAUUUAUUUAAAACGGCUUUAUGAGAAAGUGUCACUUAAGCACCCACUUUAAUAAUUGUUCUUUAUGUCAAUCCUUAAUGUCUCCUCCCCCACUGUGUUGCAAAACAGCAAAUCCUAAAAUUAGUCGCCAAUAUAUCUCCCUUUCCUCUUUCAUUCAUUCUCUUGGGCUUUGUUCAGUUUCUUUCACUGCAUAAUUGUGUGUAUCUUUUUGCCUGCCUGUAUUAUUUAAGCCGGAAAAUGAAUAUCUUCGAGAUCUCUAAAAUAUCCUCUUUCCUCAUUUAAGGAUUAAGUUAGGCUUUUUAAAAAAUUCAAUAACUUUUCUACACUUCUAAAGAUACUGACCUGGAAAAAAGCAGAAAAAUCACACUGUACAGGACAGUUUGCAGUAAUCAAAAAUAGUUAUUAUUUAAAAUUCUCUUUAUACUUUAAUCAUGGCUUCAGUGGUGACCUCAAAUGGGGGCAGGGGGAAAUCAAAUAAAAUCCACAGAAUUCUUACUCAUCUGAGGCCAUUGUAAUCAAUUUCAUCCUUAAAUUCUCUAAAAACAAAACAAAAUGCAGAGGUUCAUUAAAAUGGCUUUUCAAAAGAAAGAAAAUUGAAACUGCUGGGAUUAAAAUUAAUAUGAAAAUAAAUAAUAUUUAAUUUCAUUGUUCAUUGACUAGGAACGAAACUGCAUUUCAUUCCAAAAACAAAGUGUAACACACCAAGUAUACAAUGGCUUCCUGUAUCAGAAUUCUCAAGAUUUCCAUUUCAAAAUUAUUUCAUCUGUUUAUCUACCUGUUUAAAGAAAAAUAGGAAUUAGAGAACAAAAAUUGGAGUUGGUGGUAACCAUCUGUUUAGAUAACAAACUAGAACUUGUACAGUCUCGAAAGUUAUAGGAAACGUACUAAUGAAUGUGAUGUCAGGACUCCUUGGCAAAAUGGAGAAACUUAAAUCUAUUUUCACUAUGCAAAAGAGAGUAAAAGGAAUAUUAAUUGUUCACCUGUUUAUAUUCAGAGGUACAAUAAAGAGAGCUCCAAUCUGAGGGCAGGGCCUAAGAAGAGAUCUUUGUGGGUCCAGUCCACUCCCUUAAGACUUUUGUGAAUCAUCUGCUAAAGACUUAAUGAUUGUGACAGGAUGUCUUCAAUGUUAGGCUUACAAAACAGUCACAAGUCCUGCAAGUCUUUCUGAUAAACCCAAUCGGCACUGAUGUAUUUCUCCACUCUGUCUAAUUGGUGUAAAGUUUGCAGAUCUGAGUCUCAUAUCUUUCACCCAGCUUGCUGCGUCCUCUCCUUUGACACCGGGUCAAGGUUCACAUUCGCAUCCGAUUAUCAAAGUGGCAGUCAUUAAGCAAGCAGCCUGCCUUGCACCGAAAUGAGUUUGCUUGAAGGAAAAGAAAGCUCGGCCCAUUUACUCAGCAGAUUUUAGCAUUUUAAGGAGGCCCAAAUGUCACACAGUAUUGCUACGUUCUGAAGAGUUUCAGACAUAUCCAGCUGAUGAUUAAUUGUGAGUGAUGGGAAAUAAAAUCCAGUAAAGCCAGCUGCUUUCCAUGGUCGGCAAAAUUACUAUAAUGGAUAUAGGCUGCCAAUUUUCCAGUUUUACUGGCAAGUCUUCCAAGUGUAAUUAAGGGAAGUUAUAAAUGAUAUGGAAAUCUAUCAAGUCCCAUUUAUUUUCAGAGGACUUUUCCCCCAGGGACUUUUAUCUCCAAGCUUAUAGUUUGCUUUGUUGUGCUAAUGAUUUCAACCACUUCUUAUUUCUGUUAAAGCCCUCAAUAUCCCACCAUAAGAAGUUAGAACCACUUCUUUCACAAAGAUUUAAAUAAACAGAAACCUCUUAAGGUCAUUUGCUUUCCCCCCACCUCCUUUCUUUUUAAGUUGGGACCUUGUUUGCUUUGUGGAAGCUCCAUUUCCAAAUGCUGCAUCUUUCCUGCAACAACCUUGAAGAAAUGGCCAAGAUUUUGAGAGAAGGAGAUUGAUUCACCCACUCCUUAGAAAAGAAAUAAAAUGCCGGCUUUGUGAAAAGGGGCCUUUGAUGCUAGACAUUUAGCAGAGGGUGGUGUUGCUCACUAAUGUCGUUUGAUUUGGAAUAAAAGCAUGAAAAUGAUGUGCAAGGGCCUAAAAUU